UACGGGGGGGGCAAGCGUUGUUCGGAAUUACUGGGCGUAAAGAGCUCGUAGGCGGUUUGUUGCGUCGGCUGUGAAAUCCCGAGGCUCAACCUCGGGUCUGCAGUCGAUACGAGCAAACUGGAGUGUUGCAGGGGAGACUGGAAUUCCUGGUGUAGCGGUGGAAUGCGCAGAUAUCAGGAGGAACACCGGUGGCGAAGGCGGGUCUCUGGGCAACAACUGACGCUGAGGAGCGAAAGCGUGGGGAGCGAACAGG
rnacentral:rRNA from 1 species